GUUUGAAUUAGGCGUUCGACGUUCUUCGAUUACCAGUCUCGUAAUUGCGAUAACGGAAGUCGGAUCGAGAUGGAAUCCAAGAGAGCCUGGCUAAAAUGAGCUUCUCUUGGUUGGAGCUCGUCGAAAAUGUACUUUAACGUGUUUGGGAGGAAUUUUCAAUGAGAUUUGAGAGAAAAUAAAUACGCGCGAAAUAUUCGGAAAACAUGAUGACUAAAGUGAGAAUAAAAAUGAAGGUCCUAUCGUUAUCAGGAAAUUUCAAAAUAAUUAUUUCGGGAGAUUCGGACCUAUGAUACUUUUAAAUCGCGAAUAAUGUACAUUGGAAACAUUGAUCAGGAGGAACGCGUUUUAAAAGAAAAGAUAUAUUAAAACAGAAUGGCGAUUUCGAUGCGCAAGAGGUACGAAGGACGAGGUAACAAGGCGACAGGGAAGAAGAAAGAGAAAAUGAAAUUUGCAUUAACGAAACGAAUGUCGAUUUCAUUUGUAUCGUGAAUCAUUCUUGGAGAAAUAUUUUUCAUCAUGGAACAGGACAUUUGUUUUUCUCAAAUGACACUCAAUAAAAAAUAUAUACAGCAUCAUGGCGCACAUCCGCGCCGUUGGUGAUUCGAAUAUCGUUUCUGCAUAAAAAUCGUGCAAACGAACAUUGAUUUUUCCCAAAUACACGCGACGUAUUCAGUAAAAUCAUUUUCAUAGAGCAAAAGCGAUAUUUGUAGAAUUUCAACGACGCUGCAUUUGCACAAGAGCUGUGGCUAUAUUUGUAUUUCUUGAUUUUGAGAGAGAAAAAGCUUGGCAAAGAGUUCCAUGUAAAAUAUAUUUCACCAAACUCGAAAAUGUUUACUCGAAACGUAAUUGUAAUAUUCUCGUGUUCAAUGUUCAAAUUUUAUAGUAAUCGUGCUGGUUUCAAGUUUCUCAACAUUUUACGAUGGUGUGUACUACGAAUAAAUUAAUAUCGUCUCCGGGAGAAUAUCGUGGCUAGAAUAUUUCGAAAAUUUUGGUAAAUUUGUUAUUAGGUUUACAGGGUGAUUGACUGCCAUAGAUGUUAAUUUAAAUUUGUGGCUGACACGUGGCUUCUCGAUUUAGGAAAAUCAUUUGUUUAAUUUUAUUACUGCUCAAUUAGAUUAAUUAACAUGUAUAUGCGAUGCGUUUUGGCGUAGGUGAUGGAAUCAGGUUUCUUAUUAUAACAUUCUCUAACAUCGUCGUAGAAAGAACAAUUAAUUAAUAAUCACAUUGACAAAUUGAGUUCGUCGAUGUCAGAGUCCUUUUCAUCGUCUUUGCGACGAUGAACGCUCUUUAAAGGACCGUUCGACGAAGAUACUUGACGAUUACUGUUAACUACAAGUUUGUACUCGCGAUUAAUGUUUGUACAUUUUCUCUUUAAUAUUCGAAUUAAUUAUCUAUUGAAUGUUAACGAUUUUCAGUAAUUUUAUUUCCAUUGGUUCGAUAUGCUUGCUUAGAUUAGAAUACUUUUAAAAUUGUUUAUUGUUGCGAAGCAGUGAAUAGAUUUAGUGCGAUGUUUAUUCGGGAUACGAGUUAAAAGAUGAAAUAUAAUUCGGUAAAAAAAAUAGAUUUUUAUUCGAUAAUUACAGCAACGAACGAUAUCGUCUUCUUAAUAGAUUGUGAACGAAUUUUCAAACAAUUGCGAGAGAUCUUCCUCGGAUUGCUCUCUUGGCGCCAAUUUCGUGAUACGAUGCUGUAAACAACGCGUAGAAUUAGCACGCGAAUGAUAGCGAUAAGAUUCUAUAUUAAUUUCGAAAUUGCACGGGUGAAAAAUACAAAAUAUAAUUAUAAACAUGUGUAUGAUUGGUAUCACAAUUAUGAAUUCGUCAUACAUGUAUAAAAUGUUGAGAAUAUGGCAAAUUUAUUGAAUUGUAAUAGCUAUGUGUAUGGUGAUCAAUAAAUCACUAUCACAAAAA